CGUGGGUAACCUGCCCCGAUGACCGGGACAACCCGAGGAAACUCGGGCUAAUACCGGAUGUGCUCGCAUUACAUCAGUAGUGCGAUGAAAGGUAGCUUCGGCUUCCGCAUUGGGAUGGGCCCGCGGCGCAUUAGCUUGUUGGUGGGGUAACGGCCUACCAAGGCGACGAUGCGUAGCUGGUCUGAGAGGACGAUCAGCCACACUGGGACUGAGACACGGCCCAG
rnacentral:rRNA from 1 species